CCUACGGGGGACUGCAGUGGGGAAUAUUGCACAAUGGGGGAAACCCUGAUGCAGCAACGCCGCGUGAGUGAAGAAGUAUUUCGUUAUGUAAAGCUCUGUCAGCAGGGAAGAAGAUGACGGUACCUGAGUAAGAAGCCCCGGCUAACUACGUGCCAGCAGCCGCGGUAAUACGUAGGGGGCAAGCGUUAUCCGGAUUUACUGGGGGUAAAGGGAGCGUAGGCGGCAGUGCAAGUCUGGCGUGAAAGUGGCGGGCUCAACCCCCGGACUGCUGUGGAAACUGUACGGCUGGAGUGCAGGAGAGGUACGCGGAAUGCGUGGUGUAGCGGUGAAAUGCGUAGAUAUUAGGAGGAACACCAGUGGCGAAGGCGGCUUACUGGAGUGUAACUGACGUUGAGGCUCGAAAGCGUGGGGAGCAAACAGGAUUAGAUACCCUAGUAGUC
rnacentral:rRNA from 1 species